ACUUUAUGGUUUGGGCAUUACAUGAUUUUGUCAUUGAAUAUUUGCCAUACUUCAUAUAAGGGCUCACCACUAAAUUAACAAAAAAUUGUAAUUUCAUCCCUUAGUUU
rfam:Capsicum annuum cultivar Zunla-1 chromosome 12, whole genome shotgun sequence